UACGUAGGGGGCAAACGUUGUCCGGAAUGACUGGGCGUAAAGGGCGAGUAGGUGGUUUGCCAAGUCAGGAGUGAAAACUCCGGGCUCAACCUGGAGAUUGCUACUGAAACUGGCAGACUUGAGUGCAGGAGAGGGAAGCGGAAUUCCUAGUGUAGCGGUGAAAUGCGUAGAUAUUAGGAGGAACACCAGUGGCGAAGGCGGCUUCCUGGCCUGUAACUGACACUGAGGCGCGAAAGCGUGGGGAGCGAACAGGAUUAGAUACCCCUGUAGUCCC
rnacentral:rRNA from 1 species